rnacentral:rRNA from 1 species
CUGCCGUGGGCGUCGAUACUUGAGAGGAGUUGCCCCUAGUACGAGAGGACCGGGGUGAACAUGCCUCUGGUGUACCUGUCGUUCCGCCAGGAGCGCAGCAGGGUAGCUAUGCAUGGACGGGAUAACCGCUGAAAGCAUCUAAGCGGGAAGCCUCCCUCAAGAUAAGGUAUCAUCGAGUCGUGGUAGACCACCACGUUGAUAGGCCGGGUGUGGAAGUGCGGUAACGCAUGAAGCUAACCGGUCCUAAUCACUCAAAUCAUGCUUG